CCAAACUUGGUCAUUUAGAGGAAGUAAAAGUCGUAACAAGGUCUCCGUUGGUGAACCAGCGGAGGGAUCAUUAGCGAGUGAAAACUCCCUAAAACCAUUUGUGAAUCUACCUUUUUUCCUGCGCUCCGGUGGGCGGUUCCAGGGCGGAGCCACUGCCCCCGUUGGGUUGGGUGCCCGCCGGAGCGAACCCCUAAACUCUUGCUGUUACAGUGAGGAUCAGAGACAAGAUACAAGCUAUAAAAACUUUCAGCAACGGAUCUCUUGGCUCUGGCAUCGAUGAAGAACGCAGC
rnacentral:misc_RNA from 1 species